GUCUAUGGCCAUGCCACCCUGAACAAGCCUGAUGUCUGAUCUCAGAAGCUAAGCAGGGUUGGGCCUGGUUAGUACUUGGAUGGGAGACCACGUAGGAAGACCAGGUGCUAUAGAUA
rnacentral:rRNA from 1 species